rnacentral:misc_RNA from 1 species
GUUUUAAUAAUAUUGUGGCGGCACUCGACAAGCCAAAUACCACCACUCGACACUAACUAUGGUGGGACGACGGCAGCGCAGUGGUUAACGUCUUAGGUUGCGAACGUUCGGAAUCCGGGUUCGAAUCCCAGCGACCAGAGUCCGAUUUUACUUCCACGCACCAAAAGAACGGAGGAAAAAUCAGCAGUACCCCGGCAGUGAUAUCUACAGCCCCCAGUGACAAUUGCUGCGGACGAGGCCCAACAACUACUACUAUCACGCACGUCCAAUAUAUAUAACACGCAUACACGGCCACCUCAAUAUUUUAAUACGUAUACGAUAAUGUGCUAUACAUCAUAUAAUCGAUCAAAACAAUCGAAUAUCAAACACACGAUAUACAUACAGCGUAAUAAAAAAAA